UCUUCCCUCUGUCGGCGUGCCUAAUACAUGCAAGUCGAGCGAACGGACGAGAAGCUUGCUUCUCUGAUAUUUGCGGGGGACGGGGGGGAAACGCGUGAAUACCCCCCUUGUAUUACUGGGAAAAUUCGGGAAAACGGGAUAAAAUCCGGGAAAAUCUUUUGAACCAUUGGGUGCAAAGGAAAAUGACGGCCUUGCGGUCUCUAAUCGAUGCUUCCGCGCUGAAUGAGCUAGUUGGUAAGGUAACGGCUUACCACGGCAACGAUGCAUAGCCGACCUGAGAGGGUGAUAGGCCACACUGGAACUGGUACACGGUCCAGACUCCUACGGGAGGCAGCAGUAGGGAAUCUUACGCAAUGGGCGAAAGCCUGACGGAGCAACGCCGCGUGAGUGAUGAAGGUCUUCGGAUCGUAAAACUCUGUUAUUAGGGAAGAACAUAUGUGUAAGUAACUGUGGACAUCUUGACGGUACCUAAUCAGAAAGCCACGGCUAACUACGUG
rnacentral:rRNA from 1 species